CCACAUUAGAGUUCACACUGGAGAAAAGCCGUAUUGCUGUAAUGAGUGUGGUAAACCGUUUUCAGAAAUGAGAUAUCUUCAGAGACACACUAGAGUUCACAACAGAAUAAAAAGGGUAGCAGUUCAAAAAUCAGUCCAGAAAAACAAGCACCCUUCAGGACUCUAGAGUGAGAAGUACUCCUGCCUGGCAGUAAGCACAUGUAACCAACUGGAAUUCAUCCUAAGUGGUGUUGUGUCACAAACAAAUCCACCUAGAGGAGAAUCAGAAGUUUAUAUCAUUUUUUCCUUUUCCUGAAACAAAAUACAGAACAGGGCGUCAUAUAAAGCGCUACUCACUAAAGCCCCUACAGCCUCCACCAUGCGUCUAGCUCUGCUUUCAUAACAUACAUACAUAUAGAACUAUUUACAAUAUAUUAUAUACAUUUCAUCAGAAAGAACUCUUUACAGUAUACAAAACCUCACAUAAUAAAUCAUAGUUCAGCUAUCUUAUAUAUAUUUUUCUAUUUUUAUAUAACAAUAAAAUAGCUUUCCAAAAAAAAACAAAAAAAAAAACAGGGUGCCAUACAAACAGUUUCUCGCCAAUGCUUAUUAAAUAAAAAAUCAAAUCAGUUACUAAUAAUUACAAACACAAACUAUGAAAACAAUAUAAAUAAAAUUUAAAUGAAAAUCUAAAGUAUCCAUAUGGUCAUGUUGUACACCAUGCUAAAUUAUAUUAAAACGCUGUGGCAGCGCACUAAAAAAAGAAAUGCUGUUUU